AAGAAAAAAAGGAAGCGCAAUCCCUGGGUGUCCUGAACCCCGACUCACUGCAGUGCCUAAAGGAAAGACAGGUGAAGUUUCUCCAACUUGGUUGAAAUGGAGAUAGGAAGGAUGUCUAGAAUCUAGAGGAGAUACAUCUUUGGAAAAGAUCAAACACAUCAUAUAAAGAGAAGACCAACUCUUGAAAGCAGACCAUAGGUUCUGUUUGUCAAAUAUGUGUGACCAUUCCGAUAAGUCACCAGAGGCGGGAAGGGAGAAAGAGAAAGAAAGAAAAUUACGACCGUAAAUAGACUCGGAACACAGAAAGAUCAAAAUAGACAGCCUCUGGCUUUACUGGAUGAGUCACCGUUGCAGCCCAGACCGCAAAAAACAAGCGUGGCUUCUCUACUUAACAGCACUCUUCCUGUCUGGAAAGGAAGCACUGCUCUGAUUGGAGAUAUUGGCCAUUUUACAGACAUCAAAGCAACUGUAGCAACUGAACAGACAAGAGGGGGAACAGGUAAAACAGUUUUUCCAAGUGCUUGUCUGGAGAACCAGCUCCUCAACUUUGAUUUGAAGCUACAUGAAUGCUUUCAUCUUUAGCCAACUUUUUUUUUU